rnacentral:lncRNA from 10 species
AUGAAAUUAAGAUUGGGACCUCAUGUAAGAAUGGAGGGUGUUCAAAGAGCCUCCAUCUACAGCAGCAAUGGGGCCCGGAUCUUCCAGACAAACCCUGGAUAUAUAUAUAGACAUACCAGGGUCUAGAGAGUCUAGAAGAAGUCUGUGUAUAUCAUUCUGGAGUACCUAUUUUCCAUGAGGGGUAACUUAUGCAUGACUUAUUAAAAUAGUUUAUGGUAGAAUUUAGAAAGUUAAACCUUUCUGUCUUUAAACAUUGUUUGCCAUGCAGUGUUAUUAGGCAUUUUACUUACAUUGCCAUUAACAUCUUCACAAUAGCCUACACAAACACAGGGGUUUGUAUGUUGUGUGUUUAUACAUGAGAAAACAGAAACAAGGUUACAGUUCUUAAGUGGUCAUUGUGAUAUAAACUGCCUGUUUUUCUUCAUAUUCUGUAUUUAAAAGUGAUGCUAUUUGGGCUAAAUGUUUUGUUUGAAGGACUGUCCUACACAUUGCAGGGCAUUUAGAAUUUUGGGCCCUGGGGCACUAAGACAACAUUAUCCCAAGACGACCCAUACUUUUCCGCAUCCUGCAGUUGAGAGCCUCUCUUCUGUAUUAUGCUCUAGUUUAUAGAAAUGCAGCACUGUGUAAAAAUCUUCCACUCUGUUUCCACAUUCUUCCUGAUAUACUGUACAUUCAUUUUUAGUAACUUAGACACUUGUAAAAUGCUAGAGUUUGUACACUUACUGGCUUAUUAAAAAUCAGAUUUAUCCC